GUGCUCGCUUCGACAGCACAUAUACUAGAAUUGGAAUGAUACAGAGAAGAUUAGCAUGGCCCCAUGGCAAGGAUGACACACAAAUUCGUGAAGUGUUCCAUAUUUUU
rnacentral:snRNA from 1 species